GACGAACCGUCCUAACGUUAUUCGGAAUUACUGGGCUUAAAGCGCGUGUAGGCGGGACGGCACGUCUGUCGCUGAAAUCCCUCGGCUUAACCGAGGAACUGGCGGAGAUACGACCGUCCUGGAGGGGGGUAGGGGGACCUGGAACUUCCGGUGGAGCGGUGAAAUGCGUUGAGAUCGGAAGGAACGCCCGUGGCGAAAGCGAGGUCCUGGACCCUUUCUGACGCUGAGACGCGAAAGCCAGGGGAGCAAACGGG
rnacentral:rRNA from 1 species